CCCUGGGGGACCUGUGAGCGUCCGUGACGGUGACCACGAGUCAUGGCCCAGAGACUGUGAUGGCACUACUAGUCAGUGGAAAGCUUCUCUAUGGCUGGACCUUGGUCAUCUGUGUAUCUCAGGAACUCUGCACAUGCUGGCCCUACUGUUCAUUCAGUGACUGUAUCCCUGCUUCCCAGCCCUGGAGGCCCCACCGAGAACCAAGGUACAUAAGCUGGCUUAUGCCUCUUUGCAUAAGGGAUGCAGGAAGAGCUGAACAGUUGUGUUCAGCUUUGGUGGCUGGAUGUGCUCAUUCUGAGUGCCCCAUCAGAGUCAGCCUCAGCUGCAGGUGA
rnacentral:lncRNA from 1 species